rnacentral:tRNA from 1 species
CGGAGAAUAGUCUAUGUAGGAUUUCGGCUUUGGGUGUCGAGGGUAAGGAUCACUUUCCUUUUUUCCGA